AUUGAACGCUGGCGGCAGGCCUAACACAUGCAAGUCGAGCGAGCGGCGGACGGGUGAGUAAUGUCUGGGAAACUGCCUGAUGGAGGGGGAUAACUACUGGCAACGGUAGCUAAUACCGCAUACCAUCAGAUGUGCCCAGAUGGGAUUAGCUAGAAGGUGGGGUAACGGCUCACCUAGGCGACGCUCCCUAGCUGGUCUGAGAGGGUGACCAGCCACACUGAAACUGAAACACGGUCAAGACUCCUACGGGGUGCAGCAGUGGAGAAUAUUGCACAAUGGGCGCAAGCCAGAUGCAGCCAUGCAGCGUGUGUGAAGAAGGCCUUCGAAUUGUAAAGCAAUUUCAGCGGGGAGGCGUUACCCGAAGAAAAAGCACCGGCUAACUCCGUGCCAGCAGCCGCGGUAAUAC
rnacentral:rRNA from 1 species